rnacentral:rRNA from 1 species
UACGUAGGGUGCGAGCGUUAAUCGGAAUUACUGGGCGUAAAGCGUGCGUAGGCGGUUUUGUAAGCCAGAUGUGAAAUCCCCGGGCUCAACCUGGGAAUGGCAUUUGGGACUGCAAGGCUGGAGUACGGCAGAGGAGACUGGAAUUCCUGGUGUAGCAGUGAAAUGCGUAGAUAUCAGGAGGAAUACCGAUGGCGAAGGCAGGUCUCUGGGCUGAUACUGACGCUCAUGCACGAAAGCGUGGGGAGCGUACAGG